rnacentral:rRNA from 1 species
UACGUAGGGGGCUAGCGUUGUCCGGAAUCAUUGGGCGUAAAGAGCGUGUAGGCGGUCCGGUAAGUCCGCUGUGAAAGUCGGGGGCUCAACCCUCGAAUGCCGGUGGAUACUGUCGGGCUAGAGUGCGGAAGAGGCGAGUGGAAUUCCUGGUGUAGCGGUGAAAUGCGCAGAUAUCAGGAGGAACACCGGUGGUGUAGACGGCUUUCUGGACCGUAACUGACGCUGAGACACGAAAGCGUGGGUAGCAAACAGG